UCCCUGGUGGCUCACCUGCCAAUGCAGGAGAUCCAGGUUCAAUUCCUGGCCUGGGAA
rnacentral:tRNA from 1 species